rnacentral:rRNA from 1 species
UACAGAGGGUGCGAGCGUUAAUCGGAAUUACUGGGCGUAAAGCGUGCGUAGACGGUUAUUUAAGUCAGGUGUGAAAGCCCCGGGCUCAACCCGGGAAUUGCAUUUGAGACUGAAUAGCUAGGGUGCGGAAGAGGGAAGCGGAAUUUCCGGUGUAGCGGUGAAAUGCGUAGAUAUCGGAAGGAACACCAGUGGCGAAAGCGGCUUCCUGGUCCAGCACCGACGUUCAGGCACGAAAGCGUGGGGAGCAAACAGG